GACGAACGCUGGCGGCGUGCUUAACACAUGCAAGUCGAACGGAAAGGCCCUGCUUUUGUGGGGUGCUCGAGUGGCGAACGGGUGAGUAACACGUGAGUAACCUGCCCUUGACUUUGGGAUAACUUCAGGAAACUGGGGCUAAUACCGGAUAGGAGCUCCUGCUGCAUGGUGGGGGUUGGAAAGUUCCGGCGGUUGGGGAUGGACUCGGGGCUUAUCAGCUUGUUGGUGGGGUAGUGGCUUACCAAGGCUUUGGCGGGUAGCCGGCCUGGGAGGGUGACCGGCCACCUUGGGCCUGAGAUACGGCCCAGACUCCUACGGGAGGCAGCAGUGGGGAAUAUGGCACAAUGGGCGGAAGCCUGAUGCAGCAACGCCGCGUGCGGGAUGACGGCCUUCGUGGUGUAAACCGCUGUCGCCUGUGACGAAGCGUGAGUGACGGUAAUGGGUAAAGAAGCACCGGCUAACUACGUG
rnacentral:rRNA from 1 species